rnacentral:misc_RNA from 1 species
UGAACCUGCGGAAGGAUCAUUAAUGAAUUCUGAAAGGGGUUGUAGCUGGCCGUUUCGUUUGAGCGGCAUGUGCACGCCCUGAUCAUUAUCCAUCUCACACACCUGUGCACAUACUGUAGGUCGGCUUUUGAUUGGAGUGGGGUCUUCAUCGACUCUGCUUUUUAGUUGGGGCCUUCCUAUGUUUUAUCACACACUACUUCAGUUAAAAGAAUGUCCUCUUGCGUCUAACGCAUUUAAAUACAACUUUCAGCAACGGAUCUCUUGGCUCUCGCAUCGAUGAAGAACGCAGCGAAAUGCGAUAAGUAAUGUGAAUUGCAGAAUUCAGUGAAUCAUCGAAUCUUUGAACGCACCUUGCGCUCCUUGGUAUUCCGAGGAGCAUGCCUGUUUGAGUGUCAUGGAAUUCUCAACUCUAUUUGCUUUUGUGAAUAGAGCUUGGACUUGGAGGUUUAUUGCCGGUACCUGUGAUCGGCUCCUCUUGAAUGCAUUAGCUCGAACCUUUUGUGGAUCAGCUUAUCGGUGUGAUAAAAUGUCUACGCCGUUACUGUGAAGCAUAUUAUUCGGCUUCCAAUCGUCCUUCACGGGACAAUAACUUUGACCUUUGACCUCAAAUCAGGUAGGAUUACCCGCUGAACUUAAGCAUAUCAAUA